rnacentral:rRNA from 1 species
UACGGAGGGUGCAAGCGUUGCUCGGAAUUAUUGGGCGUAAAGGGUAGGUAGGUGGUCUCAUUUGUCUGGGGUGAAAGCCUCGAGCUUAACUCGAGAAGUGCCCCGGAAACGGUGAGACUAGAGUCUUGGAGAGGGUCGUGGAAUUCCCGGUGUAGCGGUGAAAUGCGUAGAGAUCGGGAGGAACACCAGCGGCGAAGGCGGCGACCUGGACAAGUACUGACACUCAACUACGAAAGCGUGGGGAGCAAACAGG